rnacentral:rRNA from 1 species
UAAGGUGAUCAUGGCGAUGAGGCCCACCCUUUUCCAUUCCGAACAAGGAAGUUAAGCUCAUCAGCGCCGAUGG